CAUUAGGGACGCCUGCGCUCCCAGAUCCAAUGCAACUGCAUUAUUAUGGAUACACUAUACUGUAUAGUUGUCAGCUGCAAACUUUCUAUCUAUCUAUCUAUCUAUCUAUCUAUCUAUCUAUCUAUCUAUCUAUCUAUCUAUCUAUCUAUCUAUCUAUCUAUCUAUCUAUCUAUCUAUCUAUCUAUCUAUCUAUCUAUCUAUCUAUCUAUCUAUCUAUCCAUCUAUCCCUCUAUCUAUGAUGUAAUGUAGCCUUCUUUAGCGGACAUGAAAGGUGUUAUUUGUGGUAUUUGUUGAUGUUUACCCACGUUUUUGCAUGCUUGCCGAUCACACCUCUCGAAUGGGCCAUGCAUGGUGCAGAGGGCCCCCGUAGUGUGUGUGUGUGUGCGUGUGUGUGUGUGUGUUGUGUGUGUGUGUGUGUGUGAGGGGAGGGUGGAGGUGGGGGGUGGGGGUGGUGGUCCCAGGUAGUCUGAAUGUGCGCCAGUGGGGCAUCCGCGACUUUGACAGCUGCACGGAGCCUUUUCACCAGUCGUCAUUUCAGAUAAUAUCCCCAACGCUCUCUCCUCUCGGCAAUUUGUAUAUGAAUAACCGAAUAAUCUCCCCCCUUUGUUCCAUCCGCGCUACCUCCAAACCAAAAUAAAGAUGCCUUUUAGUAGUAAAGUGGUAGAAAAUUACAGGUAAUUAUCUUUGACGGUAAAAACGCUGUAAUCAGCGGGCUACAUCAAAAAUUACCCUAAUUAUGCCUGCAUUUAUGAGAAAGAGGGGGGAAAAAAGCCUGACUUGGAUAAAAACCCUGCAAAUUGUCCCAAAUAUCUCCUUCAUAUUGAGCGCCGCUGCAGCUGGCUGCUUUGUUCGGCAUCGAUCCCGCGGAGCUUGGCAUUUAACGGCCUGCAUUAGGACGGAGAGACGGAAGAAAACAUUUUGUCAAUACUUGCAAUAAUUGAGGGUGGAAUGACCUGCAUGCGGCGACAGUCUUUGGGGGUGAAUGGAGGCAGCGGUACGCCUCCAUCCCCUCUUGCCAGCUCCAGCCCUCCCCUCUCCCGCCCCCUUCCCCCCGGUUGGCUUCCACAGCUGUGGUGAGUGAGGGGGCAGAUGACCGGAGAUUUGGCCCCUGGGAGAGCGCCGAGGCAUCCUGGUGCUAUUAGACUGGUGGCUAAUAAUAGGUGUUUCAGACUCGGGGAAGAUCAAUCAGGGGGGGAAUGGGGACUGUUCAGGCCAGUGCUUUUUACACAUCGGCCCAGAUGGAUGAAAUUACACUUGUCAGUUUUUAGUUGCAUUACUCCCAAAUUGGUUGUCUACUUUUUUUUUUUCUUCCCGCCCCUCGCUGCCUCAUUCCUGCUCUUGUUUUUCCUCAGUGCCCCCCCCCGGUUCAUGUGUCAAUGUCCUGCUAAAAGGAUUCAGCAGUGAAAUCCAUGUCAUUUUGUGCCUGGCCCUCCAGGAACAGCCCUGCGUAUUCACUUAAAGGACAUUAGUUCCUUGUCUCCUCGAGAACAUUUUCCAUGUUCCGGCCAAGUGCAUGAUUGUGUAAAUGUGCAGAUGACAUUUUGUAUGUGGAGUGUAUCACUUGGAUGAAAAAACUGAAACUGAAAAAUAUUCUCUCAUGCCGUUUUUCCUACUUUGUGUAAUUUGAAUUUCAAUGUAUUUCUGAUAAAACAGACACUGCAACAUUCAAUAUUCUGUCAUUAUGAUUGUUUUGAAUGCAUUUGUAAUAUGCAAUUGAUUGAUAAACAUUUGUACUUUGUAUAAGAAAACUACUAAACUACUAAUUUAGAGAUACAUUUAUUUAUAACCCUAACAACGUUGCUGUUUAUUUUUAUUUUUUAAUACAUAUUUCUCUUUCAAAUUAAAAAAAGUUGUGUAUUGAGUGGG